rnacentral:rRNA from 1 species
UACAGAGGUCUCAAGCGUUGUUCGGAUUCAUUGGGCGUAAAGGGUGUGUAGGUGGCGCCGUAAGUCGGGUGUGAAAUUUCGGAGCUUAACUCCGAAACUGCAUUCGAUACUGCGGUGCUUGAGGACUGGAGAGGAGACUGGAAUUCAUGGUGUAGCAGUGAAAUGCGUAGAGAUCAUGAGGAAGACCAGUGGCGAAGGCGGGUCUCUGGACAGUUCCUCGACA